rnacentral:miRNA from 4 species
UCCGUCUCAGUUACUUUAUAGC